UAUUGCCAUUAUAUUCUUAAAGCCACUAAUCAUGCCAUUAUGCCGACUCAGCCCCGCGCAUGGCACUUCUUCCCACCGGAGUCAUUUGCCCCACUAAUGGAGGGCGUGUUUGUUUUGGUUUUGUUAGGUUAUGUUAGGUUAAGUUUAGGGUAUCUUCAAACACAUGAUAGCCAGCACCUUAUGGUAUAAAUCAACAAAGAAUGACCUCACUUUGUUGUAUAGAAAGUCUCAUUAGUAAGGAAGCAUAUAUGAAUUUUCUGAGUCAAGGCCUAUAGUGUUUGUUUUGGUUUUGUUAGGUUAUGUUAGGUUAAGUUUAGGGUAUCUUCAAACACAUGAUAGCCAGCACCUUAUGGUAUAAAUCAACAAAGAAUGACCUCACUUUGUUGUAUAGAAAGUCUCAUUAGUAAGGAAGCAUAUAUGAAUUUUCUGAGUCAAGACCUAUAGUGUUUGUUUUGGUUUUGUUAGGUUAUGUUAGGUUAAGUUUAGGGUAUCUUCAAACACAUGAUAGCCAGCACCUUAUGGUAUAAAUCAACAAAGAAUGACCUCACUUUGUUGUAUAGAAAGUCUCAUUAGUAAGGAAGCAUAUAUGAAUUUUCUGAGUCAAGACCUAUAGUGUUUGUUUUGGUUUUGUUAGGUUAUGUUAGGUUAAGUUUAGGGUAUCUUCAAACACAUGAUAGCCAGCACCUUAUGGUAUAAAUCAACAAAGAAUGAUUUCAUUUUGUUGUCUAGAAAGUCUCAUUAGUAAGGAAGCAUAUAUGAAAUUUCUGAGUCAAGACCUAUAGUGUAUGUUUUGGUUAUGUUAGGUUAAGUUUAGGGUAUCUUCAAACACAUGAUAGCCAGCACCUUAUGGUAUAAAUCAACAAAGAAUGACCUCACUUUGUUGUAUAGAAAGUCUCAUUAGUAAGGAAGCAUAUAUGAAUUUUCUGAGUCAAGACCUAUAGUGUUUGUUUUGGUUUUGUUAGGUUAUGUUAGGUUAAGUUUAGGGUAUCUUCAAACACAUGAUAGCCAGCACCUUAUGGUAUAAAUCAACAAAGAAUGACCUCACUUUGUUGUAUAGAAAGUCUCAUUAGUAAGGAAGCAUAUAUGAAUUUUCUGAGUCAAGACCUAUAGUGUUUGUUUUGGUUUUGUUAGGUUAUGUUAGGUUAAGUUUAGGGUAUCUUCAAACACAUGAUAGCCAGCACCUUAUGGUAUAAAUCAACAAAGAAUGACCUCACUUUGUUGUAUAGAAAGUCUCAUUAGUAAGGAAGCAUAUAUGAAUUUUCUGAGUCAAGACCUAUAGUGUUUGUUUUGGUUUUGUUAGGUUAUGUUAGGUUAAGUUUAGGGUAUCUUCAAACACAUGAUAGCCAGCACCUUAUGGUAUAAAUCAACAAAGAAUGACCUCACUUUGUUGUAUAGAAAGUCUCAUUAGUAAGGAAGCAUAUAUGAAUUUUCUGAGUCAAGACCUAUAGUGUUUGUUUUGGUUUUGUUAGGUUAUGUUAGGUUAAGUUUAGGGUAUCUUCAAACACAUGAUAGCCAGCACCUUAUGGUAUAAAUCAACAAAGAAUGACCUCACUUUGUUGUAUAGAAAGUCUCAUUAGUAAGGAAGCAUAUAUGAAUUUUCUGAGUCAUGACCUAUAGUGUUUGUUUUGGUUUUGUUAGGUUAUGUUAGGUUAAGUUUAGGGUAUCUUCAAACACAUGAUAGCCAGCAUCUUAUCAUAUAAAUCAACAAAGAAUGACCUCACUUUGUUGUAUAGAAAGUCUCAUUAGUAAGGAAGCAUAUAUGAACUUUCUGAGUCAAGAUCUACAGUAACUGUAUCGGGUUGUGUUAGGUUAAGUUUAGAGUAUCUUUAAACUCAUGAUAGCCAGCACCCUAUGGUAUAAAUCAACAAAGAAUGGCCUCACUUUGUUGUAUAGAAAGUCUCAUUAGUAAAGAAGCAUAUAUGAAUUUUCUGAGUCAAGACCUAUAGUGUUUGUUUUGGUUUUGUUAGGUUAUGUUAGGUUAAGUUUAGGGUAUCUUCAAACACAUGAUAGCCAGCACCUUAUGGUAUAAAUCAACAAAGAAUGACCUCACUUUGUUGUAUAGAAAGUCUCAUUAGUAAGGAAGCAUAUAUGAAUUUUCUGAGUCAAG